rnacentral:rRNA from 1 species
UUUUCCUAGGGGUAACUUGCGGAAGGAUCAUUG